AACGAACGCUGGCGGCAUGCCUAACACAUGCAAGUCGAACGAGACCUUCGGGUCUAGUGGCGCACGGGUGCGUAACGCGUGGGAACCUGCCCUUAGGUUCGGAAUAACUCCCCGAAAGGGGUGCUAAUACCGGAUAAUGUCUUCGGACCAAAGAUUUAUCGCCUUUGGAUGGGCCCGCGUUGGAUUAGCUAGUUGGUAGGGUAAAAGCCUACCAAGGCGACGAUCCAUAGCUGGUCUGAGAGGAUGAUCAGCCACACUGGGACUGAGACACGGCCCAGACUCCUACGGGAGGCGGCAAUGGGGAAUAUAGGACAAUGGGCGGAAGGAUGAACCAGCAAUGCUGCGUGAGUGAUGAAGGCCUUAGAGAUGUAAAGCUCUUUUACCCGGGAUGAUAAUGACGGUACCGAGAGAAUAAGCACCGGCUAACUCCGUG
rnacentral:rRNA from 1 species